CCACUCUCUUUGUGCCAGUGAAGAUGCUACCUGGUGCAGUUAUCAGAAGAAUCCUUCUCAAUUCAGGUACCGCAGUCUACCGCAGGGUAAGCCUCUCACAUGUCCAAGUCUUCAGACAGAUCUUAAAGCCAUUGUAAACAGCCAAAAAGAUAGAGCUGCCUGCUUGACCAACUUAGGAUCAACCCAAGCAAAUGAGAACUUUAAUUUCAUAGUUUCAACAAAAGCUCCAAAAAACAAGUCAUUUGGAUCAAGCAAAUCUCUGACAGGGAGAAUUUCAGCAUCUGUUCUGCAGAAGAACGAGGGUCACAAGUAUUUAGAAAAGGUUAACAAGGCUGUAGGAUUAUCACCGGGAGAAU